GGGAAGGCUGAGGCAGGAGAAUUGCUUGAACCCGGGAGGCAGAGGUUGCAGUGAGCCGAGAUUGUGCCACUGCACUUCACCCUGGGUGACAGUGAGACUCCAUCUCAAACAAACACCUCCAAUGCUCUUUCUCAAAUACCAUGGCUACCCUUCCUGCUUUACUUCAUCUGUCACACAAGUAAUAUAUACUCAUUAAAGAAAAAGACAAGCAAAAUGAAAACAAAAGUCAUCCCUAAUCCCACUGCUGAAGAGUUACUAUCUUACCAACAUUUUUCUAAGCAUAUGUACAACUUUAAAACAAGCACAAAAGAAUAAUAUUGCGCUGGGCACGGUGGCUCACGCCUAUAGUCCCAACACUUUGGGAGGCCGAGACGGGUGGAUCACUUGAGGCCAAGAUUUCGAGACCAGCCUGGCCAACAUGGUGAAACCCUGUCUAUAUUAAAAAUACAACAAGGAGCGACUCCCCGCCGCCGCCCGGGCCCGCGUGCUCCUCCGCCCGGCCCCACACCGCGGGUCGACGUGAUCCGCUGCAGCCUGGCCUGCGAGCGCUGCCGCUGGAUCCUGACCCUGCUCCUACUCAGCGCCAUCGCCUUUGACAUCAUAGCCCUGGCCGGCCGCGGCAGGCGGCAGUCAAGCGACCACGUCCAGACGUCCUUGCUAUGGUGGAGAUGUUUCCAUGAGGGCGGCAACGGCAGCGGGUCCUAAGAGGACGGCUGCUAGAGCCUCAUGGAGUACGCGUUGGGUAGAGCAGCAGCUGCCAUGCUCUUCUGGGGCUUCAGCAUCCUGGUGAUCUGUUUCAUCCUCUCCGUCUUCAUCCUGUGUGUACCCCAGAUGCUUGUCUUCCUAAGAGUGAUUGGAGGUCUCUUUGUCUUGGCUGCUGUGUUCCAGAUCAUCUCCCUGGUAAUUUACCCCGUGAAGUACACCCAAACCUUCAACCUUCAGGCCAGCCCUUGCUGUCACUUACAUCUAUAACUGGCCCUACGGCUUUGGGUGGGCAGCCACGAUUAUCCUCAUCAGCUGUGCUUUCUUCUGCUACUGCCUCCCCAACAAUGAAGAUGACCUCCUGGGCAAUACCAAGCCUAGGGACUUCUACACAUCCGCCUAACUUGGGAAUGAGCGUGGGAGAAAAUCGCCACUGCCAAGAUGGAUUCCAGAAAAAGAAACUGUUUGUCUAGGCUACUUUGAACCUAUUUUUUGGCAGUGUUCAUAGUCAAAAAUGCUAAAAUAAUUUGGGAGAAAAUAUUUUUAAAGUAGUGUUAUAGUUUUAUGUUCACCUUUUAUUAUGUUUGGUGAAGUUGUGUAUUUUCACUAAUUACCUAUAUUAUGCCAAUAUUUCCUUAUAUCUACCCAUAACAUUGAUGCUACAUUUGUAAGAUAAUAUGAACAUGAAACUUAACAGUUUAUAAGGUAAAAAUGAGAUGGUUUCCAAGAUUUAAUAAUCCGAUCAAGUUCUUGUUAUUUCCAAAUAGAAUGAACUGGGUCUGUUAAGGGCUAAGGGGAAGAGGAAGGUAAUGGUAAAAAUUGUCAAUGACUGGCUGGGUGUGGUGACUCAAGCUUGUAAUCUCAGCACUUUGGGAGGCUGAGACAGGCCGAUCACCUGAGGUCACGAGUUCAAGACCAGCCUGGCAAACAUGGUGAAACCCUGUCUCUAGUGAAAAUACAAAAAUUAGCUGGGCGUGGUGGCACAUGCCUGUAAUCCCAGCUACUGGGGAGGCUGAAGCAGGAGAAUCGCCUGAACCAGAGAGGUAGAGGUUGCAGUGAACUGAGAUCGUUGCAUUGCACUCCAGCCUGGGCAACAGAGCAAACUCUGUCUCAAAACAAACAAAAAUUGUCAAUGACCAAACAUUCUGAAAGAAAUGCCAAAAAAAGCUUUUUUUUAUCAAGACUUCAAACGAUUUAAAGAAGCAAAAUAGUUUCCUAAAUGCAUAUUGUUUGUGAGAAUUUCUCACUAAUAUCCUGAAUAAUUCCUUUUUUUUUUUUUGAGCCAGAGUCUUGCUCUGUCGCCCAGGCUGGAGUGCAGUGGCGUGAUCUUGGUUCACUGCGAGCUCUGCCUCCCGGGUUCAUGCCAUUCUCCCGCCUCACCCUCCCGAGUAGCUGGGACUACAGGCACCCGCCACCAUGCCUGGCUGAUUUUUUAUAUUUUUAGUAGAGACAGGGUUUCACCGUGUUAGCCAGGAUGGUCUCGAUCUCCUGACCUCAUGAUUCGGCCACCUCGGCAUCCCAAAAUGCUGGGAUUACAGGUGUGAGCCACUGAGCCCGGCCCUGAAUAAUUCAUUUUUGCUAAGCUUCAUGUUGACUCUAUAUAUCAUCUAAGAAAGUAUUGUUUUGUGGUCCAAACCUGUUGCCAUGGUUAGUAAGGCUUUCUUAGGUAUGAAAUAUUUAGAUGAAAUUUUCUCUUUUAAAGUUCUGUAUAGGGUUAGGGUGUUGGAAAAUGCUAUAUUAAUAAAUCUGUAGCGUUUUGUGUUUAUAUGUUCAAAACCAGAGUAACUGGAUUGAAAGAUGGACUGAUAGAUCUAAUCUAUCAGUCUAAUUUAUCAUGACUGAUAGAUCUGGUUAAGUUGUGUAGUAAAGGAUUAGGAGAGCCAUUCCUGUCACAAAAGUGCCUCUAAAACAGUCUAAGGAGAAAAAUGGCUUGCUUUUCUAAACUUCAGAUUUAUCUGGGCUCUAAUCAUGUAGACAGGCUUCUGACAGAUUGCAACUGUCAGUAGAAACCUACAUAUAGUUAAAAUCCUGGUCUUUCUUGGUAAUCAGAUUUAAAAUGUGUGAUGUAAAACAUACCACAGGAGAAUUCAGGGACUUGAGUUUCCCUGAAUAGCAUAUAUAUGAUGCAUCAGAUGAGUUAUUACUAUUUUUUACCAUUUCUACUUACAUAAUGAAAAACAAUUCAUUUUAAAUAUCAAAGUAUUAUUUUGUAAGUUGUGGAAAAGGGCAAUUGAAGUUUUCAUUAUGAAGUUUUCCCAAUAAACCAGGAAUUCUAAACUUGAAAAGAAAAAUAGAAUUAGCCAGAUGUGGCUGCACAGGCCUGUAAUCCCAGCCACCCAGGAGGCUGAGGCAGGAGAAUCACUUGAACCUGAGAGGCAGAGGUUACAAUGAGCCGAGACCGCACCACUGCACUCCAGCCUGGGUGACAGAGACUCUCUCUCAAAAAAAAAAAAAAUGAAAAUAAUAUUGGGAUUAUACUGUAUGCUCAGGUGUACAUUAUUUCUUACAUGUAUUGUGAAUAUAUUUUGACAAUAAAUAUCUUUACUUAAAAUAA